rnacentral:rRNA from 1 species
CCCUUAGAUGUCCGGGGCCGCACGCGCGCUACACUGAAGGAAUCAGCGUGGCUUUCUCCCUGACCCGAAAGGGUUGGGAAACCCGUUGAAUCUCCUUCGUGAUAGGGAUUGGGGCUUGAAAUUGUUCCCCAUGAACGAGGAAUUCCCAGUAAGCGCGAGUCAUAAGCUCGCGUUGAUUACGUCCCAGCCCUUUGUACACACCGCCCGUCGCUACUACCGAUUGAACGGUUUAGUGAGGGCCUCGGAUUGGUCUCGGCCCGCUCUUUACCGGGCGGCGCCGUUGGUCGAGAAGACGCUCGAACUUGAUCGUUUAGAGGAAGUAAAAGUCGUAACA